CUACGGGUCGCACCAGUGAGGAAUUUUGCGCAAUGGGGGAAACCCUGACGCAGCAACGCCGCGUGAGCGAGGAAGGCCUUCGGGUCGUAAAGCUCUGUCAAGUGGGAAAAAGGUCUCUUGAUUAAUACCCAAAAGAUUUGAUGGUACCACUGGAGGAAGCACCGGCUAACUCCGUGCCAGCAGCCGCGGUAAUCGGAGGGUGCAAGCGUUGUUCGGAAUUACUGGGCGUAAAGGGCGUGGAGGCGGUUUGGCAAGUCAGAUGUGAAAGCCCCGGGCUUAACCUGGGAAGUGCAUUUGAAACUGCCUUUCUUGAGUAUGGGAGAGGAGAGUGGAAUUCCCAGUGUAGAGGUGAAAUUCGUAGAUAUUGGGAGGAACACCAGUGGCGAAGGCGACUCUCUGGACCAAUACUGACGCUGAGACGCGAAAGCGUGGGGAGCAAACAGGAUUAGAUACCCCGGUAGUC
rnacentral:rRNA from 1 species